GACGAACGCUGGCGGCGUGCUUAACACAUGCAAGUCGAACGGAAAGGCCCUGCUUUUGUGGUGUGCUCGUGUGGCAAACGUGUGAAUAACACGUGUGUACCCUGCCCUUGACUUUGAUAUACCUUCAGGAAACUGGCUCUUAUCCCGUAUAGGCGCUCCUGCUUCUUGUUGUUGGAUGGAUAUUUUCGUGGGUGUGGGAUGGGCUCCCUGCCUAUCAGCUUGUUGGUGGGGUAAUGGCCUACCAAGGCGUUGACGGGUAGCCGGCCUGGGGGGGCGGACGGCCAAAUUUGGAAUGGGAGACGGCCCAGAAUCCUAAGGGGGGGAGGAGGGGGGAAUAUUGCACAAUGGGGGGAAAGCUGAUGCAGCGACGCCGCGUGGGGGAUGACGGGCUUCGGGUUGGAAACUCGUUUCGGUUGGGAAGAAGCCGUUUGUGACGGUAACUAGAAAAGAAGCACCGGCUAACUACGUG
rnacentral:rRNA from 1 species